rnacentral:misc_RNA from 1 species
AGGUGAACCUGCGGAAGGAUCAUUACAGAGUAAACUUGAUGGGUUGUUGCUGGCUCUUACCUGAGCAUGUGCACGCCUGUCAUUUUUAUCUUUCCACCAUGUGCACCCUGUGUAGGUCUUGAAAAGACAAUAAGCCUAACCUUCGGGUUACUGGGGUGAUGCUGUUCUUUUUUGAAUAGCUUGUCCUAUCUUUGGCUGUCUUUUCAGAUUCUACGAUUUAUAUAUACACCUAUGUAUGUUAAAGAACGUUAUUGAUAUGGGCCCAUGAAGCCUAUAAACCUAUAAAACAACUUUCAGCAACGGAUCUCUUGGCUCUCG